GCGGAUGUGGCGGAAUUGGCAGACGCGCUAGAUUCAGGUUCUAGUGGCCGCAAGGUCGUGGAGGUUCGACUCCUCUCAUCCGCA
rnacentral:tRNA from 1 species